UCGGUGGCGUGGUGUGCGGCGCCGAGCAUUUGAUGUCUCAAGUGCGUCAUUACCGCGAAAUCAAUGGUGCCUCGCUGGAUCCUUUUUCGGCGUAUCUGAU
rnacentral:tRNA from 1 species